rnacentral:rRNA from 1 species
UACGUAGGGUGCGAGCGUUAAUCGGAAUUACUGGGCGUAAAGUGUGCGCAGGCGGCAGAGCAAGUCGAGUGUGAAAGCCCCGGGCUUAACCGUGGAGGGUCAUUGGAAACUGGGGGACUUGAGUGCAGGAGAGAAGAGUGGAAUUCCACGUGUAGCGGUGAAAUGCGUAGAGAUGUGGAGGAACACCAGUGGCGAAGGCGGCUCACUGGCCCGAUACUGACGCUGAGGUGCGAAAGCGUGGGGAGCAAACAGG